CUUUUACAAUGAAGAGUUUGAUCCUGGCUCAGGAUGAACGCUAGCUACAGGCUUAACACAUGCAAGUCGAGGGGCAGCAUCAUCAAAGCUUGCUUUGAUGGAUGGCGACCGGCGCACGGGUGAGUAACACGUAUCCAACCUGCCGACAACACUGGGAUAGCCUUUCGAAAGAAAGAUUAAUACCGGAUGGCAUAAUUAUUCCGCAUGGGAUAAUUAUUAAAGAAUUUCGGUUGUCGAUGGGGAUGCGUUCCAUUAGGCAGUUGGCGGGGUAACGGCCCACCAAACCUACGAUGGAUAGGGGUUCUGAGAGGAAGGUCCCCCACAUUGGAACUGAGACACGGUCCAAACUCCUACGGGAGGCAGCAGUGAGGAAUAUUGGUCAAUGGACGAGAGUCUGAACCAGCCAAGUAGCGUGAAGGAUGACUGCCCUAUGGGUUGUAAACUUCUUUUAUACGGGAAUAAAGUGAGCCACGUGUGGCUUUUUGUAUGUACCGUAUGAAUAAGGAUCGGCUAACUCCGUGCCAGCAGCCGCGGUAAUACGGAGGAUCCGAGCGUUAUCCGGAUUUAUUGGGUUUAAAGGGAGCGUAGGCGGGUUGUUAAGUCAGUUGUGAAAGUUUGCGGCUCAACCGUAAAAUUGCAGUUGAUACUGGCGACCUUGAGUGCAACAGAGGUAGGCGGAAUUCGUGGUGUAGCGGUGAAAUGCUUAGAUAUCACGAAGAACUCCGAUUGCGAAGGCAGCUUACUGGAUUGUAACUGACGCUGAUGCUCGAAAGUGUGGGUAUCAAACAGGAUUAGAUACCCUGGUAGUCCACACAGUAAACGAUGAAUACUCGCUGUUGGCGAUAUACAGUCAGCGGCCAAGCGAAAGCAUUAAGUAUUCCACCUGGGGAGUACGCCGGCAACGGUGAAACUCAAAGGAAUUGACGGGGGCCCGCACAAGCGGAGGAACAUGUGGUUUAAUUCGAUGAUACGCGAGGAACCUUACCCGGGCUUAAAUUGCAACUGACGGAACCGGAAACGGUUCUUUCUUCGGACAGUUGUGAAGGUGCUGCAUGGUUGUCGUCAGCUCGUGCCGUGAGGUGUCGGCUUAAGUGCCAUAACGAGCGCAACCCUUACGGGUAGUUACCAUCAGGUUAUGCUGGGGACUCUACCCGGACUGCCGUCGUAAGAUGUGAGGAAGGUGGGGAUGACGUCAAAUCAGCACGGCCCUUACGUCCGGGGCUACACACGUGUUACAAUGGGGGGUACAGAAGGCAGCUACACGGCGACGUGGUGCUAAUCCCGAAAGCCUCUCUCAGUUCGGAUUGGAGUCUGCAACCCGACUCCAUGAAGCUGGAUUCGCUAGUAAUCGCGCAUCAGCCACGGCGCGGUGAAUACGUUCCCGGGCCUUGUACACACCGCCCGUCAAGCCAUGAAAGCCGGGGGUACCUGAAGUACGUAACCGCGAGGAGCGUCCUAGGGUAAAACUGGUGAUUGGGGCUAAGUCGUAACAAGGUAGCCGUACCGGAAGGUGCGGCUGGAACACCUCCUUUCU
rnacentral:rRNA from 1 species